rnacentral:lncRNA from 1 species
CCAGUAAAAAUCCGAAGUAAAACAGGCAAAGGAAAAGGUAAAAAGACAGCAAAAGUAAAAAAGGAAAAGAAAGAAAAAUUAAAACAGAAGAGCAAGAAAAAGAAGGACACCUCAUCGUCCUCGUCAGACUCAGAGUAAGGUGGCAGACAAAUUAAAUCAGAAUUUCGGUGGAAAAGAGUAAAAGACAAAGAAGUGGCAGACAAACUAUUCACCAACAGUAAAAAGUAUCAGACAAAGUGGCAGACAAGGCACUAUUCAUGAACAGUAAAAUCCGCGUGAACCAACAGUAAGGUUCUCGUGAAUCAACAGUAAAAGCUCAGGAUUUUCUAUAUAAGGGAGCCUCUCCCCUUGUGAAGGCACACACUUGUAACCCCAUUCUCUCUAUAUUCUCUCUUCACUUCUUCUCUGUAAACUUCCUCUUAAAACAUUCUCAGAAGUUUUGUAA